rnacentral:rRNA from 1 species
UACGUAGGGUGCGAGCGUUAAUCGGAAUUACUGGGCGUAAAGCGUGCGCAGGCGGUUAUGUAAGACAGUUGUGAAAUCCCCGGGCUCAACCUGGGAAUUGCAUCUGUGACUGCAUAGCUAGAGUACGGUAGAGGGGGAUGGAAUUCCGCGUGUAGCAGUGAAAUGCGUAGAUAUGCGGAGGAACACCGAUGGCGAAGGCGGCAUCCUGGACCGGCAUUGACGCUGAGGCGCGAAAGCCAGGGGAGCAAACGGG